UACGGAGGGUGCGAGCGUUAAUCGGAAUUACUGGGCGUAAAGGGUGCGUAGGUGGUCUGAUAAGUUAUCUGUGAAAGCCCUGGGCUCAACCUGGGAAGGCCAGAUAAGACUGUUGGACUCGAGUAUGGGAGAGGGUAGUGGAAUUUCCGGUGUAGCGGUGAAAUGCGUAGAGAUCGGAAGGAACACCAGUGGCGAAGGCGGCUACCUGGCCUGAUACUGACACUGAAUCACGAAAUCGUGGGGAGCAAACAGG
rnacentral:rRNA from 1 species